rnacentral:sRNA from 1 species
CCCAUGGCGAGGCCGGCGAGAGCAGUGCCUGCUUCCCCCCGAGGACAGCCCCCUGUGGCAGUAUCUUCUGAGCCGCUCCAUGCGGGAGCACCCGGCGCUGCGAAGCCUGAGGCUGGUCAGCAGGGCGCGGGACGGAAACGGGCGUCCCUCUCGACCCCUGCGGGUCCCACGUGGCUGUGUGACCUUGGGCUGGGCGGUGGCCCUCCCUAGGCUUCCGGCUUCCCUUGGUCGGAUGCGGCGGGCGUUCCUGAAGGGCCCGUCCCCCAGGCCACGCCCAUAACCGCGCCCCUAGGGGCUUGGGACCCCCAGGGCGAAGGUGGGUGACCGGCAAGGCUGGUGCCACCCUCUCCUUUCACGCAGCUGACCCUGGAGCAGCCGCAGGGGGAUUCCAUGAUGACCUGCGAGCAGGCCCAGCUCUUGGCCAACCUGGCGCGGCUCAUCCAGGCCAAGAAGGCGCUGGACCUGGGCACCUUCACGGGCUACUCCGCCCUGGCCCUGGCCCUGGCGCUGCCCGCGGACGGGCGCGUGGUGACCUGCGAGGUGGACGCGCAGCCCCCAGAGCUGGGACGGCCCCUGUGGAGGCAGGUGAGCGCCCGCGCCUAGCUCUGCAGCCCCAGGCGGGGGCGCAACGGCUGACCCGCUCCCUCCGCAGGCCGAGGCGGAGCACAAGAUCGACCUCCGGCUGAAGCCCGCCCUGGAGACCCUGGACGAGCUGCUGGCGGCGGGCGAGGCCGGCACCUUCGACGUGGCCGUGGUGGAUGCGGACAAGGAGAACUGCGCCGCCUACUACGAGCGCUGCCUGCAGCUGCUGCGACCCGGAGGCAUCCUCGCCGUCCUCAGAGUCCUGUGGCGCGGGAAGGUGCUGCAACCUCCGAAAGGGGACGUGGCGGCCGAGUGUGUGCGAAACCUAAACGAACGCAUCCGGCGGGACGUCAGGGUCUACAUCAGCCUCCUGCCCCUGGGCGAUGGCCUCACCUUGGCCUUCAAGAUCUAGGGCUGGCCCCUAGUGAGUGGUCUCGAGGGAGGGUUGCCUGGGAACCCCAGGAAUUGACCCUGAGUUUUAAAUUCGAAAAUAAAGUGGGGCUGGGACACACGA